rnacentral:misc_RNA from 1 species
GGAACACUCAAUCAAAGCAAGAUGCUAGCAGACCACAAAAUAGUGUACUUAAUAUAUAUAUAUGCUUCCUGACCUAGCAUUUUUAAUUGUAACAUGUGUUGCAAAUAAAAAUGUGCAUUGUUGCAAAUAAAAAUGUGCAUUGACGCUAGGACAAGAAGCAAUUAAGAAUAAUCAUUAUUCUCCAUGAAGCUCAAGAACUUAC